rnacentral:rRNA from 1 species
UGGGGAAUUGUUCGCAAUGGGCGCAAGCCUGACGACGCAACGCCGCGUGGAGGAUGAAGGUCUUCGGAUUGUAAACUCCUGUCGAACGGGACGAACACCUUUUCAGUUAACACCUGGAGAGGCUGACGGUACCGUGAGAGGAAGCCCCGGCUAACUCUGUGCCAGCAGCCGCGGUAAUACAGAGGGGGCAAGCGUUGUUCGGAAUUACUGGGCGUAAAGGGCGCGUAGGCGGCCUUCUAAGUCAGACGUGAAAUCCCUCGGCUCAACCGGGGAACUGCGUCUGAGACUGGAAGGCUUGAAUCCGGGAGAGGGAUGUGGAAUUCCAGGUGUAGCGGUGAAAUGCGUAGAUAUCUGGAGGAACACCGGUGGCGAAGGCGGCAUCCUGGACCGGUAUUGACGCUGAGGCGCGAAAGCCAGGGGAGCAAACGG